rnacentral:rRNA from 1 species
UACGAAGGGGGCAAGCGUUGUUCGGAAUUACUGGGCGUAAAGCGCACGUAGGCGGAUCGAUCAGUCAGGGGUGAAAUCCCAGGGCUCAACCCUGGAACUGCCUUUGAUACUGUCGAUCUGGAGUAUGGAAGAGGUGAGUGGAAUUCCGAGUGUAGAGGUGAAAUUCGUAGAUAUUCGGAGGAACACCAGUGGCGAAGGCGGCUCACUGGUCCAUUACUGACGCUGAGGUGCGAAAGCGUGGGGAGCAAACAGG